CCCACUUUCUGAAUUUUUGAACACACAUUCACACUCACACAUAGAGAUGGCUGGAGAGACACACACAUUCCUCCACGGAGCGCCGCCGCACCUCCGGCAACCACCGCCUUCUGUCCAAUGUGGCAGCCCCUCUGUGUCUACCUCUCUGUAUCGUCACCUCUCUCCCUCCCUACACACCCUCACACUUACAUCUCUCUCUGCAGCGGUUGUCCGACCGAUUCUGCCACCACCGUCGUCGUUUUCCGGCAGCUGUAAGCUGGAAUUGUCUCCCCCUUGUGAAAUUCUUCCCCGAGAGAUAGCAUGAGCAACGAGAAGGCGAAGGAUAAACUGAUUCCAGUAAGGCAUUCUCGGUUUUAAGUGUAUUCCGUGGGUACAAUUGGCAUGCCAUAGGACAGCAGCGCUGCAUUAUCUGUGAUCGCUCGUCUUCUGGAUAACCGAAGCGAGGAUCGUCUCUGAACUCUGUCUCUGAUUCUGCACCCUUAAUGGGUGGUAUGUGCGGAGUCCUCUCAAGGACAAAAAUCCGUGUCUGCAUCUGACUCCGUCGCUGUUUCUGAUCUGGUCCGCGUACCCUAGUCUGUCACUAAGCACUUGAAGGGGCUAUAUGUGUUUGAAUAUGUGAAAAUGUUGGUGAUCUGAAUAUGUGUUGGUGUGUUGAUGACUGGAUAAUAUUUUUAUAUAUUAUGUGUUUUACCCGA